CAACAAUCUCGAAUUCUCUCUUUCUGAUCCUCGUUGAAAAUGUCUAAUGGUCCUCAAGAUCACGGUGACGUGCCGAUGACCCCAGGAUCUAUGUCAGAUGGAAGCAUGAACAUGAGCUCAAUGGACAUGGUGAUGCACAUGAGUUUCUACUGGGGGAAAGAUGCUAUAAUCUUAUUCUCCGGAUGGCCAAAAGACAGCCUUGGAAUGUACAUAUUGGCUUUCUUGUUUGUGUUUGUGCUAGCUGUUGCUGUUGAGGUUUUGUCAGUCUCUCCAAAAUUAAAACUGGGCUCCAAUGCAAUUGUGGGUGCCAUUAGUGAAGCCAGUGUUUAUGCCGUUCGCAUGGUAUUGGCUUACAUGGUUAUGCUCGCUGUCAUGUCUUUCAAUCUGGGAAUCUUUAUAGCAGCGGUGGCUGGCCAUGCAAUCGGCUUAUUUUUCGUCAAGGCUCGGGCUCUUGCCAACAGUAACCGAGGGAUGUAUGCUCGUUUCGCAAAAAUUCAAAAGUUGCUCGUAUUUGUAAUUUUGGACCGGACAGACAAGCUACCGGGAAAGCUUCAGAAUUGGGUCGAGGUUAUAGGCUACCCCAUCAUUUUUCGACAUUCCGGACCCAUCCCAAGAGUCAGAAUUGACACAGGUGAGCCGGAACAGCCUUCCUCCUCCGCCCAGCCACCACAGUGAUUUGUCGUCAAGUC
rnacentral:misc_RNA from 1 species